UUUGUGUCACAGUGACGCUUCAAAUCAUUGAUUCAUAGCUGCCAAAAAAAGAUUCGAAACAGAAUUCAUUUUUGAUAAUACGUUUUUGUUCUAGUAAUCAAAAUUUAAUUGUUUACUACACCGUACUUAACCACAAACAGUGCAAAGUUGAUAAUUAUAACAAGUGUUUAUGACCUAAUACAAAGCAAUUGAAAUCGAUUCGUAAUUAACAAAACAAACAAAAUUUCAAUGAUUGUUCACCCGGUGACCCAGUAACUUGUCUAUCCCGGUAUAUCACUGUAAUUCAAAAGCAGGGUCAGCAGACAAAUGGAGUAAUAUUGCAAUAACCAUAUUACAUAUAUACGCAAUGUUCUUUACUUUCACAUUUUGUAAUAUGCCGCGGUUAUUGCGAAAGACUCCGCUAACAGAUCGCUCAGUUGUCUGAUAGCCUCGAAGCUGGAUGCAUCGCGGAUAUUUCCAAUAUUAUUCUCAAACAUGUGAUUAGUAGAAAAUGAUUAGUGUACCGGUGAAUUGAAACAGUGAAUUAAAUGGAUAUCAAAUUUUAUUGCAGCAGUUUGCAAUUUAGUAUGUUUUAUGGAGAGGAUUUAUUAAAUUGAGAAAAAUGGGAGCAUUAUCAUCAAUGUUUGUAUCAAUGACGGACAUCGCAAAUUCUGUAACGAUAAUAUGCGUUUUGUUCAGUUUGUUUGCUAUGGCACUACUUUUUAUGAAGAGUGCCAUAGUCCUGCGAGCGCCAAGGGACAUGGGGGCAAUGGAUGACCACUGGAGCACCUCAUCUGCACCACGCGUUCCACGUCUCCGGAUGACUAAAGUUCACAUACCUUUUACAUUUAGGGUACUUGAUUCAUCCAAUUCUGAACCUUAUAAUGAACUUCGCUGCGCAGUAUCAUCCCGCGUGGCGUACUCCCUGCUCGCAUUUUGGGCUGUGCCCAUAAUUGACCUGCACCGGGCUCUGUGGAGGCCCUGGCCCGAACUCAGAGCCCUCCUUGAGUCCCUUGCCUACAAAGGUAGCCCUGAAAAGGAUACUGAAGCUGAGAAUCCUGCUACCGAAAAGUAUUGUGAUUGUGAUAAAAGUUGUGACAGUGAAAAAGUAUCUUGUGAAAAAUGUUCUUAUAGUGAUGAGAAAGAUGGAUUAAAGUUCAGAAGGAAAGGAGACAUGCCAUUUAGUCAUGCGCAUCGCGAAUGCAGGACCGGUGUCGCCCACGAGGAGAAGUCGAUGACAUUGAGGCCUCCAUGGCCGGGAGAGCCUGGACCUCUUGGAGAACCUCCGAGGCAGGAUUAUCCUUUGGUAGUGUUGCUCAAACGAGAGGACGAUCAAACCGAAAACGAUCUGCAAAGUUCCGAUGAGACUGUCGCUUUGGUGAAUGUUGUUCAUCUGCGAGAUCCAGUCUGCCCUUUACCUACAUCUAUGUUAGGACAAUAUUUAAAACAAGGCAGUGGACAAUUAUCGUCGCUAAAGCAAUUGUACCUGGCAACACCAGGUGAUACCAACAGCGCAAACGACAUGACCCAGGCGCAGUUUUCGGCCAGUGACCGUGAUUCGACCUAUUCUAGUCUGAUAGGGCAACCCGACCAGCUCUGCGUCGUGUGUCAAUGUUUUCCGCUGUCGAGGGCUCUGCUUCCUUGCAGGCACACGUGUAUAUGUGCAAUUUGUUUUAGUAAAUUAGAUAGAUGUCCGAUGUGCAGGGCUCCUAUAUCAUCGUUCUUCACGAUUCGAGCCGAGGAUUACAUCCCGCAGUCGGCGAUUCCCGCCCACCACACGACGAGGAGCGGCAAAGGCGGCGCGGCCAUGUGGCUGGACGCGCUCAACGACCGGCUCACCGACUUCCUCGGAUUUCGAUAGCGACCGUAGUAUUAGUGCUGAGAGUUGCAGUCUUUUCAUAUGUAGCAAAAAUGAUAAAAUUCAUGCAGUAUUAUCAACUCCAGCUAUUUGAUGGACAUCUGUUGAUAACAUCAAGUCAAAACAAGCGACUGGUAAAGAUCUCCCUUGACGUAUCCUAGAAUCUGUCUUUGGAGGCAGCUGUGCUCAAGUAAUCUGGGU